rnacentral:lncRNA from 1 species
CUUUGAUAUGACAGCUCUCUUCUGUGGUGGGGCCACCUAAGAAGUGCUUGGGAAAAUAUCUUGAUAGGAGAACUAGACGGAAACAUGCUUUCAGAGAAGGGAUGUGUCUUGUUGCUUAUUGUGGUUUUUCAAUACAUGAGCCUAGUUUACAUAGCAGGGGCCCAAAUGCAGCUCUGUAUAAUAUUGUCAUACUUCAGCUAUGUGCGUGUUUAUCAUUUCUUUACCAACAACAG